UCGAGCUUCUUUGUCUUCUACUCCUUAUUCGGUCCCGAUUUCGGGCUCGAGUACGUAGCCAAGGAUUUUGAAGCAAAAGAGGUUUGCGAGGCUAGAUAUACUGGUGGCGGUGCUAAGUUUUGGGGUUUCGGCGACGCCGUGACGGCCGCGAGGGAUAUUGUGGUGGAGGAGAGAGAGGCAUAUGGAUACCGUGAGACCUCUCUUUCUCCUUUGCCUAUUUUUUUUUUUUCUUUUCUAUCGCCUCCGUCUCGCCGGAGUAAGAGCGCGGAGCAGAACGUCGAGCGCAGCGAGGCGAAGCGGGAGAGAGGCAAUGUCUACUUCGCCCGAUGCAGAUUCAGUCGACGCCCUUCGCUCCCAGAUCCAUUCUCUCCAGACGACAAUCAACGAGCUGGAGAAGCAGAACGCCGACCUUUCUUCUCGACUCUCUGGAUGUUGCUGUCAAAAGAUGGAAGACAAGAUUGGUUGUGUCGUAGAGGGAGGCGGAGUGGUCGAUGGGAAUGGCAAAUCAAUGAAGCUGGACAAGAAGACUAGGAAGAAAAAAGGCGCUACUGGUCAAACUUUUUGAGCUCCAAUUGCAUGUUUAAUCUGAACCACUGAGAUAUUAUUUCAAAACAGGAAUUCUCGAACACCAUCCAAGGCGAUAUGUUGCUCUAAGAUUGAUGUAUUUUGGACAAAGGUUUUAUGGUUUUGCCUCUGAAGCACAAUUGGAUCCAACUGUCGAGGAACAUCAGCAUGCCCAAAUGGAAAAUUUUAUUGUCGGAAUGCAGGACAUGUUCCUGUCAUUAUAUUUUCUUCGAGAGUAAAUGAUGGCAUUUGUGACUGCUGUGAUGGGAGUGACGAAUAUGGUGAUAAAGUGAAGUGCCUGAAUACAUGUCGGGAAGCUGGAAAAGCAGCACGAGAUGAGCUGAAGAAAAAAAUUGCUGUGUACCAGGAGGGCGUUGCCAUAUGUAAACAGGAGGUGGAACAGGCUAAAGUAGCUCUUGCAAAAGACAAGGAAGAAUUGUCAAAACUGAAAAGUGAGGAGAAAGUACUGAAAGUGCAGUUUGAACAGCUUAAAGCUCCCUCCUCAUACAAUUCAUAUUUGACUGUCGAUGAUCAAGGUUGAAAAGGACCUGAAGCUUUCAGAUAUCAGGACCGUUGAUGCACUCGAAAUAGUACAAACAAGUAAUAAACCAAAGCCUGCAUAUCUUUCAAAGAUUUUGAUUGCACUUUUAAGCUAUGGCGGGGUCCCUAAUGAAUUUCUUUUGGACAUGGUGGAGAAUGCUCUGGGAGAUGCAAAUAGUGUCUUCUCUAGUAAACGAGCAGCUCUAAGAGUUUCGGUGAAUCAUGGUGAGAAGGAUGGUUUGACUGCAGCUAGAAUGAUCUUAUCUGGGAUUCCUCUGGACGAAACAUACCUACAGAAUCGUCUGUCCAUCCA